UUAUCGGAGCGGUGUCUAGCAUGCUGACUCUUACUAUCUAACUGUGUCCUUGUGCUCCCCUGACUGCUUGUAUCCAUCUGUUACCCUAGUUUGUAUUUAGCUUGUCAGCGCUUUGGGCAGGGCUGUCUUUUUGUUCUGUGUUUGUACUGGGCUGUGAAGGUAUAAAGGCCGCCCUUCCUCUAGCUCAGAGGCCUGCGGCUGGCUAGCUGAUUAACACUGCCCACUGCACCUGGGGAAACACCUGCAGCUUAACUGGCUGAUCCUAAUCAACAGUGGAGAGGAGGAGCUGUAAUACCUACCAGAGGCUGGAGCCGUGGCUGGGAGGAACAGCUCCCAGAGACAAAAUUGGACAGAAGGCAGAUUGUGGGAAGUCCUAUUACCACAAAGCUCUGAGGAAACAAAAUCCCCAGAGUGAAGGACUCAUGAGCGUGCUCAGAACAACUCUACAGAACGCCUUGACCAUAAGACACACACUAGAAUUCCUCUUCCUUUUUUGCUUUGCGCUUCUGUUUUGUGGGAUCCAACUUCAAGGAUUUACACCUGGUCCUGGUUCAAAGAUUUCUGCUGAGAUGGGUGAAAGAUCUUUGAAAUGCAACUUAGAAGAAGGAAAUUUAGUACAUUAUUUUUAUCAUGGUAGCACCUGGAGACCAUGGUGUCUUUGUGCUAAGCACUGCAUGAAUAUAUGACAAAUCUGAGUGAAAUUAACAAUGCAUCCAGUCGCGUUAUUGUCAAUAUUAGACCAGGGCUCUGUUGUUCUAGGCACUCUGCAAACACAUGGUGAGAGACAGUCUGAAGAGCUGACAAUCUAAAUAGACCAGAAGGGGAGAGGCUGUGAGGGGAAAAACAGCUUAUCCCAAAUCAUACAGCGGGUCAAUGGCAAAGCCAGGCUGGAACCCAGAUCACCUGAGUCCCACUCACCAACGGUAUGGAUCUGCUGCACUGCAUCAUGUCGGCUGUAGGUCUGGAACAGAACUGUAUUUGUGUUUCCAAGACAACAUCCAAUAUGCUAAGGCAGACUUAACAAUGAGACUUGCCAGGACGCAGAGGGUAUGGGCCUGGUUCUGCAGCCCUGAAGUAGAUUGUUGCUUUGGCAGCAGGAGCAGGCCCUAUAAGAAAAGAGUAGACGCACAUUGAGCCUCGUCACCCACUGAGACUUGCCACACAAUUCCCCAAGUGACGCUGUGACGCUAACAGCCUUGAGAGCCCAAGACACUGGGUUCAGCGACGUCCCAGGUACUAUUCAGCACUGCAAGCCUGGGGCCUGUCCAGUGAGACUUCUGUCUCAGAACAUAGAUAGAGGCAUUUGUGUGGGAUUUUCACACUGCCAGGUGGCUUAGGAGCAUACUGCCUUUCAAUGGGACUUGUGCUCCUAAGUCACUUAGAUGCUUUUGAAACCCCCACUUUUUAUUUCCAGCUGUCAUUUAUUCUGUGAUUCUUCUCUUUAUUUUCAGCCAUAGGCUGAGUACCCUUUUGAUUUAAGACCACUAGAAUUGGUUGGGUAGGCCGUUAGCUAGAGAACACAGGGUUUACAGCUCUAGUGAGAGAGGGACUGAUUGCUGGCCCUGAGGAAGGCUGAGUCAGGAGGUAAAUGGUGGCCCGGGCCCUCGUUCAGAGGGGACGUGGGAUGUAAUUCAUCCUCCCUAAGCAGUGCAAAGAUGGAACUACGCCAGCUAGCGUGGGCUCCUCUUCACCAGAGACCUGGGUUCUGUCAGAGCACGACUUUGAGGAGGGCUGUUAACUGACAGAGUUAAGCAUGUCUUAGCAGUCCGGGGCAGGUCAUGUUCCGCAUUAUGGCUAAAUCUUCACUGCAGAAAGAGGUGUGUGUUUCACAGUGAGUGAGCUCUCUGGACGUAUGGUCCCAGGGGAGAUGAGGCUCAGUGUAGCUAGUUAUGUGUGGGGAAAAUUAGCGCUGAUCGUACACACCUGGGGCUGACCUCGACUGGCUAUCCAGAGGUAAGAGCUACCUGUGCCGGGUCUCCACUAGGAACUUACAUUGCGAGACCUUGAGUUAGCGAUUGCAGUGUAAAACACCCCCAUGGAUCGCAGUGAGGACACUGGGUCAGCUAACCCAAUGGCUCCAGCAGGGCUUACUCCUGUAACCCAGAAUCUGAAUGAGCUCUCCUCUGAUGGUAAACUGGGGGAACAGACUUCAGGAGCAGACUCUGU